rnacentral:tRNA from 2 species
GCUUCCUUAGCUCAGCUGGUAGAGCGCAUCCAUGGUAAGGAUGAGGUCACCGGUUCAAGCCCGGUAGGAAGCUCCA